rnacentral:misc_RNA from 1 species
GUUCGAGCGUCAUUUCAACCCUCAAGCACUGCUUGGUAUUGGGCGUCACUACCUAAGUGUGCCCUAAAAUUAGUGGCGGCGCCCAUUCGGCUUCCAGCGUAGUAAAUUUCUCGCUGUGGAAACGUAUUGUGCUCCCUGUCAGCAACCCCUAAAUUUUCAAGGUUGACCUCGGAUCAGGUAGGGAUACCCGCUGAACUUAA